UUUCCCUAGUCCCAAAGUCUCCUCCUCCAUUAUAAGGACCAUUCCCAAAUGAAGCCAUUCCAUGUUCCCAUCUCUGAAAUCAGAGCAUUCAGAUUGAAAAUACAAGCACUUGUCAAGUAAGACAGUUGAUAACAUAGAAAUUCAUGUCUUAGAUUUCUGGAGGGUUACUACUUAUAUCAAUUUCUAUACAUAAAUCAACUCCUCCAUGAUAUGAGACAAAUGAAAAAUAAGUUUCAACCUCGAUCUCUAAUAAUGCAAAAAGCGCCACCAUGGCCAUAAGAAUCUUCUUUCAGCAAUUGGAAACUAGAUUUUCGGAUUUUACAGGACAAUAGCACCAUCCACUUCCUUACUUUGAGAGAAGAAAAACCUAUUUAAAACUUUACUCAGAAAACCUUAAAUUAUAAAUUGAUGAACUGAUUGAACAGUUCUUAGUACCAAAGAUUGAUUUCGGACCUCUCAGACAAGAGAUAAGAAUUGCGCAGCUAAAAAAUGAUCUGUUCAAGGAAAUACAAGUAACCUCUUGAGUCAGAUGGUACUGCAACAGUGAAGAAUAAAUCGAUAUCCAAAAUCCCAGCAAGGAAAAGCUUGCUGUCAAACACUACAGUUAAUUCAAAUAAGUAAACAGGGCAUAUAGAAUUGAAAAUAUCCAGGGCUCCGGUAUCGGCAGUUCAGACUUCUACAGGACCUCAAUGCAAACUAGGAAUAGGAACUGUAUAGUAUUUGAUACUUGGUUAGGCAAGAAAAGGCCAAUGUUCAGUACAAAAGAGUAAAAUUGAAUUAACCAAUAGGGUUUACGUUCAUCAUUCAUGAAUUAUGUUAAAAAAGUCUCCUACUUUCUAACUCCAAUGUACUUUCUCAUUUCAUUUCAAAUUAACUUCCAAUAAAAUGUCAGUUUCAACACUAAACUUCACUAAAAACAGUUUCGUUAGUCAUUUUCUUAGGAAACAGAGAGAGCAUAACAUAAGAAAGAACACUAAACUGUAGAAAGAAAGAGAAGUUGAAAAUACCAAGUUUAGCCCAGACACAUUAGAGGAGGAACUGAAACCAGAAGAGCAUCCAGCAAUCUCCACGAUUUUUUCCUUCAAUGGGUAUUAUUUAAAACUCAAAAGAAUGAGAAAAGUUUCUCUUUGAGAGAAUUUUGAUUUGUGGGUUUUGAUUUUUGAUUUUCGGAGUUUUUUUUUUUUUUUUUAAGAAUAACUAUAAAUUUAAAAGUACAAAGAUGCUUUUAGUAGUGAAGAUUAAGAGCGUUUUUGGCAGUGUGGUAGCGGUUGCUUUUCAAAUAGCUUUUCGUGCCGAAAUACAUGCCAAUGAUGUUUUUUCAUUUUUUAAAAAAUUAUUUUUGACAUCAGCACAUCAAAACGAUCCAAAAAGUACAAACCGAACUCAAUUUUAGCAAAAAAUAAAUAAAUUGAAUUUAGGCAAAACACCGUUUGGAACGCAAUGCCGAACAGUGUCUAAGAAUAUAAUGGAUAUAUAUUUUUUUUAAUUCUAAAACAAGAUAUAGAUUUUUUUCAUGGAAAUAAUAUUAUCUAAUUUAUUGAAUUACAUAAAUUUUAUGAAUACAAUUCAAUUCAAGGUUGCAUAUCAAGGUUGAAUAUCAAUUUUUGAAUUUGAUUUUUUUAAAAUAUUAAUUUAAAUUUCAAAUAAAAUUCAAUUCAUAAAAAUUAUACAAAAACAAAGAGAGGCUUGAUUUGCUAGAAUAAUUCCUUUGAAAUUAAUAUUCUAAAAAUACUCAUCUCUUUCUUUCCUCUCAGAAACUCUACACGAACACUCUGACAAAGAUAAGUGAGAGAAGUAAAGCAAAUAUGGUGACUAAAACAAAAGAGCCGCAAUUGAAUAGAUUGUAGAGUCAAGUGGUCAAUGAAGGAGGAGGGGCAUAAGAGCAUCCCUGCUUAGUUAGAAAGCUCAAAGUUAGGCGUUCUGUCAACGUUUUAAAGCAUGGUUUAUGGAUCUUGAAUGAUUCCAAAAAAAGAUCCAGUCUUGAUCCUAAAGGUGUGUACUGUUACGAAAGCUCAAACUACUAAACUAAUUACAGAAUCAAAAUCCAACCACACAACUACCUUGCUGCCAUCUACCUUGCCUCAGACACCACUGUCUCAGAUUUACUUUGAGCGAUUCCUCUGUUGGGUAGAUUAUCAAAUCCACCGCAGAACUUUUAACGAAUAUGGAGUAGUGAUUGUUAUGUACAUAUCACGAAGAAACAACAGAAGAAACCGGUUUAGCUUUUAACAGGUACGGAGAUUUGGCUUUGUUACAAUGAAAACAGAUUCUUCGCAACAGGAGCUCCCUGGAAAGCUUUAUGGAGUAUGGUUUAGGUCUUAUCGUCUACGUGCAAAUUUGAAGCGGUUUCAACAUGUGAAUAAAGAUUCAACGCAUCGGAUUCCGAUUAAAAAACCAUGUUCAACGUGAAUUAGUACCAGUGAGGGAGCGAGACUGCAGAAGUUAUGCUAUGGUUGUGCGCAGAAAAAAAUUCAAACAGAGGAUAUCAACGGAGUCCCUGUCAUCCAAAAUGAGACUAUUAAUGAAGUCCCUGUUGUUCAACCAGUGGCUGCACACUUUAUAACACAUGAUCCAGCAGAGGAGGAGGUUGCAUGGAUGAAGAAUAGCUUGGUAGGAGUGAUAAAUGAAGGUGUUAAUUAUCAAUGGAGUUCAAUUAACGGGUUUUUGUUCUAUGGGUGCAUCACAUAGAAUUUAUACAGAUGGUCCAAUUGAUUGAUUUGCCUGGACUGAAGCUACUGAUUUGCCAAUAACUGUUUGGAAUGUUUCGAGCAACAACAAGAUUAUAUCAGCAUACGGUAGAGCUAUAGGUUUUGACAAAAUCAAUUUGGGGUAUAGCAAUCUUGGUCAUAUUGAUCUUUUAAUUGGAACACGGCUUCACUUUGUGGUUAAAUUGGAAAGAUUAUAAGAUCAAAUUGCAGGAAUUGGAUCCUCUGCAUUAUCUAGUAUCUGAAGCUAUUGAGUACAGUAUGGCAGCUUUUGAUCUGAUGAAGCAGGAAGAUGAGAGUGAAACAGAGACUAGUACUGCUGACACUUUGAUGUUGAAAAUGCUGACGAGAUAGCAACUAAAAACUGUGCACAUUUGGCGUUGAUUGUGGAUGUGAUUAGCUGUUCGCAUAACAACAGGGAUUUGGAAAUCUGUAAAACAGCUGUUUCUGAUGUUCCUGUUGAAAUUCUGUUCCGGAAAUAUUGGAGGGAAGAUCACCACUACAAGAUUUCAGGGGUGUUUGGAAUUAAGUUUCAACUACGGAAACUGCUAAACAAAAACAGUAUCUAGGAGGUGCCAUCAGAAUCAAAUGUUGAGAGUCACGACACAGCCCAUCCCAUGAAUUAGUGCCUCUUGACAGUCCUCAACUAUCAGAAGAACAACGCUCAACAUCUCUGCAUAUAUUUCACCCUAUGAUUUUUACAGAGAAGGAAGAGGAAGGUUAAAGUCUUUUCAUCAGCUGACAGUUUAGAAAACGAUACGGUAGAAGGGGAAGAGGAUGGUUCAAGCUCACUUGAGUCUGGCAUCAGACAAGGAAACGCUCGUUUCACUCAUCUUAGUGACGUGUCUGUACCAUAAAAGAAUGGGAAAGAUGAUGAGGUGCAAGAGAUGUUAAAUGCUGGGCAGUUUCUGGGAUUUAUAAGUGCUUAAGAUCUGGCGGUUCUAACAGUAGACAUUACAAAGCAAUUGGAUAGGGAGAUUGGUGAUUAGGCUGUGAAUUAAUUAAUAGUUGUCUUGGUGGAUUUUGGUAAUGUGGAACAGAGGAAAUUUUAAGGUUGAAACUAUUGAGUUUAUGCAGGGAGUUUGGUUACCAAGAGGUGUAUUUUGUGGGAGGAGAUUAGUAUUUUACAAGCAGCCUUUGAGGUGGAGAUAAACCAUGACAGAGUUUUCUCUUCAGAAUAAAAAACUAUGAAUUAAGGUGUUCUACCCUAUAGAAUUGUAGAAAGAGAAAGAAAGAAUGGAGAAGAAUAGAAGGUGGAGAGGCUGAAUAAUGAGUAUAGGUAUAAUUAGUAAUAGUUCUAUUGCCUUGUAAGUUUAACAUGAGUGUUUGGAGGAAUUAACUAAAUGGUGUGAAAUAAUGAAGUACAAUCACUAACAGGGUAUUAUGUAGGGUCUUGUGUAGAAGAGGAUUCCUUAGAAAAUAUAAAUUUAAUUGCUUCUAAAAAAACAAUUUGUUUUUUUUGUAUUGUUGAAACACAAGUGGUCAGUCAUAAUUCGUUAGGUAUUUAAUGGUGCAUGUGGAAAAGUAUUGGUCAAAUGUUAACCUAAUUAAUGGAAUGAAAUUGUGAAGGAAAAUUUCAAAGUCUAGCAAUUAAUACGUCAUGGAAUAUUUUAGGGGUAUUUGACUAGUUAGAAAUAAAUUGGUCUUUGAGAAUCAAUUGCUUUAUUGGAAUUCAACCCUUGAGUAAAUUCUCCAUCGUCUUCGUCUAUGGCUGAAGACCUUUAAAGCUAACUUUAUGCAUGGAGGUUUUGACCCUUUCAAAGGUCCAUAAAGAAUUUUUGAAUGGACCCUCAUGUAGAACUGUUUUGUUUAGAACACUCUCAUUUGUAUUCGUUUUUGUUUUGCUUUGUUAUUUUUAAUUUUCAUGCAACCAAGAUAAUUGUUUUCUUGUUUUUCCAGUUUGCCAUCUCCUUAAUAAUAUUUCUUCGAUUACAAUAAAAAAAAAAAGAGUAAUAGUUUUUAAAGAUUAAGGGUGUUUUAAAAAUUAAUUCUUGGCUUGUUUUUAUCUAAGUGAUGUGGAACAAGUUGACGAAACGUAACAGUAACAACAUCAUUUUGAGUGGACGAAAUAACAGCAACAUGAUGAACAAAACUUAUGGACAAGUUCACUUUAGCCUGACGGAUUGAUUGUUAAACUGUGUCAAUUGAUUAAUAUGAUCUAUAAUUCUGCAGAAAGAAAGAAGAAACAGAGAGAUAGGAGUAGCAGAGAAUACUGAAUAAUUGUUCUUAUUUUGCAUUUUUUAUAUUCACGAGAUAGUUGUGUUUAUAUAUCUGUUCAAAACAGACUAACAUACUUGUGCUAAUUAACUAACUAUCCACUAUAUUAAGAUUGUGACAAGUGUCACAAUCUGAAGCAAUGUACUCUAAUAUACUCUAACAUCCCCCCGCAAGAUCAAGUGGUCAGGAACUAAGCGUGAGAUUGCAACAAUGAGUGUGAAACGAGGAGCACUCAGCUCUUUUGUAAGGAUAUCAACAAACUGCUCCUGGGAAGACACAAACUACACCGAGAGUUGUUGACGUGAGACUCUUUCACGGACAAAAUAAACAUCCACUUCGAUAUGCUUAGUCUUUUGAUGCUGAACAGGAUUGAAAGACAAAGCAAUGGCAGACAGAUUGUCACAAAAAGAACAGGCACGCCAGGUAACGAAAUGUGCAGAAAGGCUAAUAAUUUUUUUAUCCAAUCCAACUCAGCUGAGGUGAAGGGAUAAGGCACGAUACUCAGCUUCGGUGGAAGAUCGAGAAACAUUUGUUGCUUCUUAGAGGACCACGAAAUGGGAUUGUUACCUAAGAAGACCACCAAACCAGUAGUAGAUCUCCUGUCAUUAGGAUCCCCGCCCAAUCAGCAUCACUAAAUGCCUUUAACUGUAAAUCGCCUCGAGUAUAUGAGAGACCAAACUUCAGAGUGCCUUUAGGUAUCGUAAGAUUCUUUUAACACAGUAAAGUGAGACAUCAUAGGGUGCUGCAUAAACUGGCAGACUGAUGUAGAGAAAGCAAUAUCCGGCCUGGUGAAAGUGAGGUAUUAGAGCUCCUACAAGACUUCUGUACAGUUGAGGAUUUGGAUAAGGCUCCCCAUCGUCUUUGAGGAGUCGAUGAUAAGGUAGACAAGGAGUAUCACAGGUUUAGCCUCACUCAUUUCAGAUUUAGCUAACAAGUCCUCAACAUAUUUGGUUUGGGACAGAAAUAAACCAGCAGUAGUGAGUAAUUUGGAUGCCCAAGAAAUAAUGGAGGAGCCUAAAUCUGUGAGAUCAAAUUCAGAAGUAAGAGCACUAAUGACUUGCUGAAUCACACCAGACGCACUCCCUGUGAUAAUGAUAUCAUCCACGUAGAGAAGCAGCACCACAAUCUCAUGACCAGCAUGUUUGACAAAUAAAAAGAAUCAGAAUAAGUGGUUCAAAACCCAAAGAAGAAGGAACUGAGUAAACCUGUCAUUCCAAGCUCGAGGAGCCUGUUUGAGGCCAUACAGGAUUUAUGCAGUUUAUAGACUAGAUGAGGAUGAUUGAGAUCUUCAAAACCAGGAGGUUGAGACAUGUAGACUUCCUCUUGGAGAAUACCAUGCAAAAAUGCAUUUUUGACAUCUAACUGUAUAGAGACCAGUUGAAAUGUGCAGCAAGAGCCAAAACUAACCGGACUGUGGUAGGUUUCACACAGGACUAAAUGUCUCCCCAUAGUCCAAUCCAGGUUCUGACUAAACCCUUAGCAACUAACCUUGCUUUGUGCCUGGCAAUAGAACCAUCAGAAUGUCUCUUGACCUUAAAAAUCCACUUACAGCCAACGAGGUUCCUUUGCUGGCAAUGAAACUAAACUCCAAGUGCCUUGAGUAUGUAAGGCAUGAACUUCUGCUUUCAUGGCCUGUAGCCACACAGGAAUUUUAAGGGCAGCCUUGUAAUUGGGUGGUUCAACCAAUGUAUGUCAGGUGCUAGGAACCUGUAAGUGGCUAAGAGAGCCUUCUUUUUAUAAUCCCACUCUUGCUUCGAGUCUGCAUGGGAUGAAGAUUAAGUGGAGGAAUGGACAACACCACUUGCAGAUUAUCAGGAAUAAAGCCAUGAGAAUCUAAAUCAGAUUGCAUACUAAUAUCAGGUGCCACAGGGAGCAGAGGAGAGGCUGAAAGUGGAGCAGUAAUGGACUGUGGACUAACAGAGUCUGUAGAUGGGGCAGGGGUAUGAGUGGGAGAGGGUGAGAAGGAGAUGCUGAGCUAGUGGAGACAAUGGAUUUUGGUAUUGACAAAUCACAGGACAAGAAGACUGGACUGGAUGGUAGUGUGUUGAAGGGUAGACACUAAAUCUGAGUAUGGAAACUGGUGCUCAUCAAAGAUAACAUGCCUAGACACAAACAUUCUCAUUGUUGGUACAUGAAACAUAAUAGCCUUUAUUUGUGUGGCAUAUCCAAGAAACACACAUUUUGGUUUUGGCCUGCAAUUUGGUGUUAUUAUAAGGCUUGAGAAGAGGAAAACAAGCACAUCCAAAAAUUCGAAGAUGUGUAAUAAUUGGAGGGAUCCAAAUAACAUCUCAAAGGGGAGCUAUUAUGAAGAACAACAGUAGGCAUACGAUUGAUUAGAUAAGUGGCUGUUUGACAGGCAUAAGACCAGAAUUUGGAUGGCAAUUUAGCGGUUCGUAAUAAGGUGAUAGUGGUUUCAAUAUGUGUCUAUGUUUCCUUCUGCGACCCCAUUUUGUUCAGGAGUAUAUGGACAAGAAAGGCGAUGAAAUGCCCUUGUUAAGAAGAAAAAUUUUCAAUCGAUUGCUGUAUACUCACCCCCCAUCAGUUUGAAGAGUUUUAAUGGUAUGAGGCAAAUUGAGUAGAAACAAAGGAAUAAAAAACAACAAAGGUAGAAAACAAAUCAGAUUUUUUAUUAAAGGGAAAAUCCAACAAUAUCUGGUACAUUCAUCAACAAAGAUAUAUAGUAUCUAUAACCAUCAACUGAAAUAAAUGGUGCAGGACCCCACAAAUCAGUAUGAAUAGUAUCAAAUGGAUUACAGACUUAUUGACAUGCUGUGGAAAAGGUAGUUUACUAAACUUCCCUUCAAGACAUGGAUGACACAUGAGAGGUGUAGGUGUUUUGGAGACAUGCAUGUGAGCUUUAUUUAAUAUCAAGGAAACAAUAUGAUUUGUAGGAUGACCUAACCUAUGAUGCCAUAAGGUGGACUGAACAAGUUGACCAAGAUAAGUUGUAGCUUGAUAAGAGGUUGCAGGCGAGAAGAGUGGAUAGGAUACAAUCCAUUACUGCAACCCUUUGUAAAGGAUCCUCCCUGUGGCUUUGUCCUGAAUCCAAAAACAGAGCAUCAAAUAUGAGAAAGUUAUUAUCAAGACAAAGACGAUGUACUGAUACAGAUUCUGAGUAAUUUGAGGAACACAAAGCACAAAUGCAAUUUGAUUGGAGACAUUGAUGAAUGAAGAGUAGAAUGACCAAUAUGGGAUUGUCAAACCUUCACCAUUGGCAGUAUGAAUGGUUUCAGUUGAUGGAUAUAGGGAGGCCAAUGAUAGAUUCGCCAAAUCAGCCGUCAUAUGAUUCAUGGCACCGGAAUCGGUGAGCCACACUUAAGAAGAUCCGGGGAACAAGAUGCUGGAGAGGCAGAGUGAAUCACUGUAUGCAUAGCUUGCAUAUGAGAUCGUUGUACUUCCCUGUUCCAUGAGGAUGAGCCUGAUAUGGAGUAUAUUGUUGCAUAACUUGCAUAGGAGAUUGAUGUACUUCCUUGUUCUAUGACGAGGAAGCUAGAUAUGGAGGAUGCUGUAGAACUGUGGCUGCAGAGAAAAGGAUGAUUGUGGAGAAUACGAAGCAAUUUAAUUCGGACCCUUAUCAUUGUAAAAGCAAUACCAAGAGGUAUGAUUGCUUCUACCACAGAUGUUGCAUCUGGUUCUCUUAGGAGGAGAAGCUCCACAGAAAGGAGCAGUGUGUCCCUCAGAUUGCAUAGCUAACAUAUUGGAACCAUGAGUGUAGAAGGAUGUGAAAUUGCGGAGCAGGGGAUUGACCAAGGAGUCCAGAAUUUGAGUUGGGAAGCACAGGUGCUAUGGAGGAAAAACCUGGUCUAGAAGCAAAGAAUCAAGAGCCAUGAGGAAAUUGACCUUUACCUCUGUUCUUGUUACCAUUAUAUGGCUGAAACUGUCUAGUAGGCACUUGAGACUGCCCAUGAUGUGAGAGAAACUCCCUUGUGUGUAUGUAUCACCGGUACUAGCAACCAUGGCUGAUAGGAACAGAAUAUUAACUAAAGUGUCAAUAAUCACUUCCUUACAAGCAAUUGUGAGCGAAAGUCCUUCAAUGAGAUCACACUUUCUCUUCCCCGUAUAACACAUCUAAAAGUAUUACACUCAGCAAGUAAGCCAUUCAAGGCAAGAAUCACAAUGUCUUCAUCCGCAAAAUAUACCCCAGCAGCAGACAAGUAGUCCCUAGCCUCUUUAAUUCGAUGGAGAUACUGUGAAACUGAAUCUAAACCUUUUUUAAUGGUUUGCAGAUUGGAUUUCAUCUGAAAAAUACUAGUCCUAGACACAAUGGAAAAUUGUUCCUUUAAUCUAAUCCACAAAUCUUUAGAGCUAGUGCUACCAAUUGCACAAGACAUAGCAAUCGGUGAUAAUUAAUUGUGUCUACCAAUGUGGCAGUAAUUAAUUGCAUAAUUGCUCUAUCAUGCAUUUUCCAUACUAUAUAAUCAUCAAAUGGAGAGGAAGAAGAGGUGAUACCAGAUUCAGCCGAGAUUGAACAAUGUUGAGGUGGACAAGGGAGCAAACCAUCAACAUACCCCAUAAUUCCAUUACUUUCAAGUAAAAGUUGCAUCUAGAAGUUCCAAUUGAGGUAGUUUGAAAGUUUGACAUUGACUGAUGUAGGAAUGGAAGAGAUGAGAGCUGUAACUGGAGAUUGAAACAACUGGAGUUGCGAAGUAGUCACCAUAAUGAUUUCAAGUUUAAUAUGUGGAUGAGACAAUACACCAAACACUUGCUGUGCAAGUUGCAGAGAGAAAUACAACUCAAGAUGAAGAUCACAACGAAGCACUAUAUAUUCCAAAUAUGAAGAACAAUAUAUAUGAGUGCAGAGAAGGAUAAUAGAAAAAUGCGGAAGCAACAAAAGAUCAAGAAAUUUCAAGCGUGAGCAAUAGUGAGCUCUGAUACCAUGUUAAGCUGUGUCUAUUGAUUAAUAUGAUCUAUAAUUAUGCAGAAAGAAAGAAGAAAGAGAGAUAGGAGUAGCAGAGAAUACUGGAUAAUUGUUCUUAUUUUGCAUUUUUUAUAUAUCACGAGAUAGUUGUGUUUAUAUAUCUGUUCAAAACAGACUAACAGACUUGUGCUAAUUAACUAACUAUCCACUAUAUUAAGAUUGUGACAAGUGUCACAAUCUGAAGCAAUGUACUCUAAUAUACUCUAAAAUUGAUGAGGAUGAUUUUCAGGAAUUUGUUUUUUAGUUCUUAUUAUUUCCUAGGAAAAUAAUUAUUUUGGUAAUUUUACUUUUUUAUAUUUAGUUUAGAAAAUCAAAUAUUGAGAUUUUCUUAAUAUGUUUAGAAGUUUUAUUACUUUUUCUUUAUUUUUGGAUUUUUUUAAUAUUUUCUUGGCUCUAAUAUAAACUCCUUACAAAAGUAAACCAUAAUAAGUUUUUUUUUAAAAUUACGAAUUAGAAUUAUUGCUUGUGCUUUCGGUGUCAAAAAGUCUUUUAGAAAACAAUAGAAAUUGAAAUCUUUUGCUACAUAUAAACCACAUUAUGGAAACAUGGUAUGAGAAUAUCGGUAAUGUUUAUAUUGCUGGGAAGUCUAACCUUUUUGAACCAAAGAAAGAAAUUGAGUGUAACAUUUAUUCAAAAGUAAAGAAAGAAAGUUCAGUUGACGUCUAGUCAAAGUCUUGUUUGGAAAAAAAAAACCCAGGCUUUGAAAAAAGGUUUGCGGAAAUUUAGACCAUUUGAUUUUGAGAGUAUCAGAUUAGACGGAGGAGAGAUGGAGGCAGCCGAUUGCAUGAUAAUGGUGUUAUUAGUUUGCCGUGUGGAAAAUCAUGCCAUUUGACUCCGAUGCGGUCAAAACCUCACCAACAACACGGCUGAUAAAAUAGGCCAUGCACUUCACGAUACACCUGCUUCAAUAUGUUAUUUGUUUCUUAAAGAUUAAUCACUUUCACGGGGAUUCCUCUUUAUCAUGUCACUUAAAUUAUAUACAUAUCAAAAUUCAGCUUCUCUAACAAAUUCCCAUCAGAAUUUACAUGUAUUGUCUCUGAUGAUCGCUUUACAUGCAUUCCUUGCUCCAUUGCUAAUUUAUUGUGUCAUAAUUUCUGCAGCUGCCAUGACAGAGCUAGAGUCUUCUCGCUCUAGACCAAAUGGGGCCUACGAUGUAUUUCUGAGUUUUAGAGGAGAAGAUAAUCGCAAGAAUUUUACAGAUCAUCUAUAUACUGCCUUAGUCCAAGCAGGAAUCUACACUUUUCGAGAUCAUAAUGAAAUUCCUAGGGGUGAAGAAAUCUCCAAACAUCUCCUCAAGGCAAUUCAAGAAUCAAAGAUAUCUAAGGUCAUCCCUUUCUCAUGUGAUAACAGCCCUGAGGUGUAUAUAUAUACAUAUAUAAGUCUACAUUCUUUUGUAACAGAAAUAUAGAAUAAUAUACAACAAACAUUUUAGCAGCGUUCUUCACAGAAGAACAAUCAAACCAUCUCUCGCUCUCUCAUUAUUUCUUCUGCAACUUUUAUCAUUUGUUACAUGGUAUCAGAGCUUCUGGCUCUCUAGAAAACUAUGGAAAUAGAAAACCAACAAACACCAACCUCAACCAUGCAUUCAACCUCACGCUUCCACAACCUAUCAGAUCAAAAUAACCCAUAUCGACUUGACAACGGUGAUACAUCAGUUCUCAGUCUGGUAACCGAUCUACUAACCACAGAAAACUAUGUUACUUGGGCAAGAGCCAUGAAAAGGGCUCUUAGAGCCAAGAACAAGCUGGGUUUUGUUGAUGGCAGCAUAACAAAACCAACAGAUCCCAACGAUCCUCUUCUGGAUGCUUGGGAAAGAUGCAACGAUAUGAUCGUCUCCUGGAUUCAUAACUCUGUAAGUCCCUCAGUGAAAUCUUCCUUCAUUCUUGUAGAUAAUGCAUAUGAAAUCUGGAGGGAACUCAGUGAGAGGCUGACUCAACAAAAUGGACCACGGAUUUUCCAAUUAAAAGGAGCUCUAGCAAACUUAACACAAGGAAAUGAUUUAGUCAACAUUUAUUAUGGAAAGCUAAAAUCUAUUUGGGAUGAGUUAGCAUUGCAUUGUCCCAUGCCCGAAUGUUCUUGUGGACAGAUGAGGGUCCUAACUGAUCGGUACCAACAAGAUUGUGUAAUUCAAUUCCUCAUGGGAUUGAAUGAAACAUACUCCAACAUACGGGAUCAAAUCAUGCUGAUGGAUCCAAUACCACAAGUCAGCAAGGUUUUCUCCCUCGUUCAACAACAAGAAAACCAGCAUCAAAUGUUACUCUGCACAUCUACCCCUGAUUCAAUGGCUCUUUUCACCAGAAACACAUCCACAAACUUCAAAACCUUCAACAGACCCUAUUGCCCCCAUUGUAAGAUCCAAGGACACUCUUUAGAGGAUUGUUUCAAAGCUGGAAAUGCAAAACCUCCUGUUUGCAGCCAUUGUAAUAUGAGUGGUCACUUGGCCGAAAAGUGUUACAAGCUGGUGGGAUAUCCUCCAGGACACAAGCUGUACAACAAAGGGAAGAAACCAAAUGUUUAUACCAGACAAACCAACAUGAUCAUGGGAGAAGAUUUUCCAAAGCACCAUGUUGACAAGAUGGAUUUGAUUUCAAAUCAAUAUCAGAAAAUUUUACAAUUACUCCAUGAGAAGCACAACUCAACAGAGACUCAUUCGAUGGCUUCACACUCACCUACUCCUAUGGCCAACACAACAAGUCUCCCAUCUAUGUCUGGUAUCGCAACUUGUCUCCCCACUUCUACACAUACAGUUUUUGAUAUUACUAAUGUUCCUUGGAUUAUCGAUACAGGAGCUACAAAUCAUAUGAUCUGUAGCACUGUAUUCUUUACACAAAUUACAGCAACAGUGUCCUACAAUGUCAAGCUUCCUAAUGGACAAGAAAUUCCAGUCACACACAUAGGAACCGUUAAACUUUCAAAUUUGAUCAUCCUUGAAAAUGUUUUGCGUGUUCCUUCAUUUUCUUUCAAUCUUCUUUCUGCGCCAGCACUAACUAAAAGCAUCUGUUGCUGCUUCAUUUUCCUGUCAAACGUUUGUUUUCUGUAGGACCUUACAUCAUGGACAACGAUUGGAUUGGGUGAAAUGAAGGAUGGUUUAUAUCAAUUCCAGCACAUUCAAGUAUCUCCUACUGCCUUGAUGUGCAAAUUAUCCAAGCAUUUUGAUACUCAACGUUUGCAUUAUGCUUGCAGCACAAAUACUAGUUCUGUCUUUCAUUUAUGGCACUGCCGUUUAGGCCAUAUUUCCAACUCUAGAUUGCAAUUGAUUAGAGAUCCUAUUGUAAUCACAAACUCAGGUUCUACUGAAACUCCUUGUUCUGUUUGCCCCAUGGCAAGACAACACAAACUUCCUUUUAAUCACAGCUCACACAAAACUUCUUUCAACUUUGAACUUAUCCAUUGUGACUUAUGGGGACCAUGUUCUGUGACUGCCUAUGAUGGAAGUAGAUAUUUCUUAACAAUUGUUGAUGAUAUCUCUCGCAGCACUUGGGUCUAUUUGCUAAAAAAUAAAUCAGACACACAAAGAUCCAUAGAGUCUUUUUAUAACCUCGUUAACACCCAAUUUGGAACUAGGAUUAAGUACCUAAGAAGUGAUAAUGGAACAGAGUUUCAGCUGAUAGAUUUCUAUCACAAAAAUGGCAUCAUCCACCAGAAAACUUGUGUCGAGACCCCGCAACAAAAUGGGAUAGUGGAGAGAAAACACCAACACAUCUUAAAUGUUGCUAGAGCCCUUAGAUUCCAAGCUAAUCUGCCUUUUAGAGUUUUGGAAUGAUUGUGUUCUUACAGCAACCUAUCUUAUAAACCGUAUCCCUACACCCCUGCUACAAAAUUCGACACCUUAUGCAGCUAUCUUUAACCAUGCUCCUACCUAUGAUCAUUUAAGAGUCUUCGGGUGCCUAUGUUUUGCCACCACUUUAAGUCAGGGAAGAAGAAAAUUUGAUUCUCGAGCUAGAAGAUGCAUUUUCCUUGGCUAUCCAUUUAGGGUGAAAGGUUACAAAUUAUUAGACUUAGAAACCAAUGACACUUUUUUAUCCAGAAACGUCACCUUCCAUAAGAAUAUUUUUCCUUUCCACACAUCUGCACCCUCUCCUUCUUCUGAUGCAAUAUCUCCUCUGCUACAACAACAGAACCAACCUUUCUACUCCUCUACCUUAGACCCCCUAAGCACCAUUCACACUUCAUUUGAUCCAAUAACUCACAUUUCUUCUUCACCUUCCACAUCUGCUGAUUCAUCUCCACCUUCUGCUACAUUACCUGAAACGUGUGACACAAGUAUUACAUCUCCUUCUUUCUCAAAUAACUCACACCCUCACAUUUCCACAUCUUCUUCUCCUCCUCAUAUUCCUCUUCGCAAGUCUAGUAGAAUGACACAGGCUCCCAAGUAUUUGCAAGAUUUUCACUGUCAGCUGGUCUCUCUCAAUUCACCCAAUCCAAUUCAGGCCACGACAAUUAAUGUUCUUCCAGGUAAACAAUUUCCCUUGAGUACUGUUAUUUCAUACAAACAAUUCUCUUUACCCUUUCAAGUAUUCACUGCAUCGAUAUCCUCUCAUACCAAGCCACAGGCAUAUGAUCAAGUUGUCCUUGAACCACACUGGCAUACAGCUAUGCAAAAUGAGUUGGAGGCAUUAGAGUCUAACCAUAAAUGGACAUUAACCGACCUACCUCCUGGCAAAAGACCUAUUGCCUGCAAAUAUGUCUAUAAGAUUAAAUAUCAUGCAGAUGGUAGUAUUGAAAGAUUCAAAGCAAGAUUAGUUGCCAAGGGCUACACACAGCAAGAGGGUAUUGACUACCAUGAAACAUUCUCCCCUGUUGUCAAGCUAGUCACCGUGUGCUGCCUCUUGGCCAUUGCAGUUGUACAAGGAUGGGGUUUGUAUCAAUUUGAUGUGAAUAAUGCAUUUUUACAUGGAGAUUUGCAAGAAGAAAUAUAUAUGAGGCGUCCUCCUGGAUACACCAAAGGGUCCCCUCACCAAGUCUGCAAACUACUUAAGAGUCUCUAUGGUUUAAAACAAGCAUCACGACAAUGGUACUCCAAGUUCUCUGCUGCCCUGCUUGAUUUUGGCUUUUGUCAAUCUAAGUCUGAUUACAGUCUCUUCAUCAAGCGAGAUGCUUCCUCUUUCACAUCAUUGCUGGUAUAUGUCGAUGACAUUAUAGUGGCAAGUGACUCCCCUCCUGUUGUUGAAGAAAUCAAGGUCUUUCUUAAUAACAAAUUUAAGACCAAAGACUUAGGAACAUUACGUUAUUUCCUUGGGCUUGAAAUAGCCAGAACAACACAAGGAAUACAAAUAUGUCAGAGGAAAUAUGCUCUGGACAUCUUAGCCAGUUCAGGCACUUUGGGGUCUCGGCCUUCCAAACUCCCCAUGGAGCAAAACCUGCGACUUAGCAAAGACAAAGGUGACAUCCUCUCUGAUCCUACCUAUUACAGGAAGUUAGUUGGCAAACUUCUAUAUUUAACGAUUACCAGGCCAGAUAUAUCUUAUAGUGUGCAGAUUUUAAGUCAAUUCAUGGACUGUCCCACUAAUCUUCACUUAACAGCUGCCUUCAAAGUCCUGAAAUAUCUUAAAGGAGCACUAGGGCAAGGCCUUUUCUUCCUUUCUAUCAACACUUUGGAUCUCAUCGCAUACUCUGAUUCUGAUUGGGCAUCAUGUCCUGACACCAGACAUUCAGUUUUGGUUUUUGCAUAUUUCUUGGCUCAUCUUUAAUCUCUUGGAAAUCCAAGAAGCAAUCAGUUGUUUCUCGAUCCUCAGCAGAGGCUGAAUACCGAGCCAUGGCUACGUUAUCUCCUCACAUACCUACAAGUUUCGCAUCCUCAUGCUGUUGCAUUGCAUUGUGAUAACAAAGCUGCAUUACACAUUGCUUCGAACCCAGUAUUCCACGAAAGGACCAAACAUAUCGAGAUAGACUGUCAUCUAAUCCAUGACAAGAUUCAAGAAGGAAUUCUGAAGACUGCACAUAUUUCUACAAAGUUCCAAUUGGCUGACGUAUUUACAAAAGCUCUCCCUGCAACAUUACUCUCCUCUCAUAUAUGAAAGAUGGGAAUCGUAAAUUACUAUUCUUUAUCUUGUGGGGGGAUGUUAAAGAAUGACAAUGAUAAGAAGCUGCUAGAAGAAAAAGGAUGAUCGUCUCCUAGUUUUCUUUCAUCAACUUAUUAGUUUGUUAUUUAACUUUCUGUUAUUUUCUUCUUUUUACUUUUCUGUUAGUCUGUUACUAUGUUAAUGUAACGUGGGCAGUAGGUCAUCCCUUUCUCAUGUGAUAGCAGCCCUGAGGUGUAUAUAUAUACAUAUAUAAGUCUGCAUUCUUUUGUAACAGAAAUAUAGAAUAAUAUACAACAAACAUUUUAGCAGCGUUCUUCAUAGAAGAACAAUCAAACCAUCUCUCGCUCUCUCAUUAUUCCUUCUGCAACUUUUAUCAUUUGUUACAUAAUGGAAGACAAAAUGGCAUCCUCUUCAGCUUCUCACAUUUUGUUAUAUCACUUAUUUGGAGAGAAUCACAUAUCAGUUUUGCACUACAAAUACUUUUUAGUUCUGGUAAAUUUUUCAAGUGCAGUUCUCUCAACUUUGGGAGUUUGAAUUCAGUGUUUCCGAUGAUGCUUUCUUCACUCAUAUCCCCUUCUUCAUCCGAUCUUGCUCCACCUAUUAUCUCCUCCAUUUUCUCACAUCCUUGAACUAUAAUCUCUUCUAGGUUUACAAGGCGAAUCCAAGAAGAUGGAACCAAGAUUUCUGUGAUACAGCAAUUCCUUACUUCAAUUAUUCGGAGAGAAUCGCAAAUUAAUUUUGCACUACAAAUGCAUUUUAGUUCUGGUAAAUUUUUCAAGCCCAGGUGUCUCAACUUUGUGAGUUUGAAUUCGGUGUUUCUGAUGCUGCUUUCUUCACCCAUAUCCCCUUCUUCAUCCGAUCUUGCUCCACCAAUUAUCUCCUCCAUUUUCUCACAUCCUUUAACAAUAAUUGUCAUAACUCAAUUUUUGAACAAAUAAUAAAAAUUAAAAUGGGGUUAAGACAAUAAAUUUUGAAGUUUAGGGAUAAAAUUAUCAGAUUUGAGAAUAAUUUGGUCAGAAAUUGAAGAAUUAAUAAGUUUGGAAAUUUAUUUAAAAUUUGGAUUAGUUUAAUUAAUGAAAUUAGAAGAAUUAAUAAGUUUGUGGACUUAAUUAAACUUUGAUUUAAUUAGUUAAAUAAAUUCAGGGACUUAAUUGAAAUUAAUCAAAAAGGGGCAAAAUUAGAAGAAUUAAUAAGUUUGUGGACUUAAUUAAACUUUGAUUUGAUUAAUUAAUUCAAGGACUUAAUUGAAAUUAAUACAAGGGUAAAAUUAAAAGGGAUUUUAAUUGAGGUCCAACUAUCAAAAUUUCCAAAGAAAGCAAGGACCAAAGUGAAAAGGUGCUUCAAACACACAAACGAAAUGUUUGGAAGCUGUGUUCUUCAUCCCUUCCGUUUCGCACGGAGGCAGCUGAUUCAACAGGAAAAUCCCAGUGCAUCCGAUCCAAAUCAUGACCAUGUCUGGCCUUAUAAAAGGCAGGACAAAGAAAACACCAAGGGAGGGAUCGAGAGCAAUUCACAACACAAAAACCGAUACAAAAACCCAGACGAGAGCAUGAAACACAACCCAAAAACAGAGCCGAACAGAGACUAAAACCUGGGGAAACAGAGAGAGAGGAGAGACUAGGAACAAAUAAAAAAACCAGAGACAGAGAGAACAAGAACAUAGACUCGCAGAAGAACAAAGACGGAGAGAAACAGAAUCAGGGGAAACAGAGAAACAAAGAACGAUCAGAAAGAAAGAAAACGAAAAGGGAAAUAGAAGGUUAUUGUCCAGCCAGCGCGCCUUCGCCAUCACCAUCGUCUUCGUCCCUUUCGUCUCCUACACUAAGGUAAGCGCCGCUCCCUUUGCAUUUUAAUUCACUGCUCCAGUAGCAGUGAAUUAUAAUUCACUUGCUACUACAGCAAGUGAAUUGUAAUUCAUUGGGCAAGCAUGCGUUUCGCACGCCUGCCACCCAGCCAGGUCGCUGCUCUAGACCAGGGACCCAACCAAGUUAGUCCAGCCCCAAAAAAAUAGAAAAAUAAAAAAAUAAAAAAACAGAAAAAUAAAAAAGGUAGAAAAAAUAAAAAGAUAAAGAAUGUGUAUGUAUGAAUAAAAAUAAUGUAAAUUUAUUGGUUUAUUCACUGACGCCAGAGUCAGGAAUAAAAAUACCGGUUUAAAUUUAUAUUAUUUUUAUUUGUUGUAUUUUUAUUUUUAUAAAAAAAAUAAAAAAAUGUGUAUGUAUGAAUAAAAAUAAUGUAAAUUUAUUGGUUUAUUCACUGACGCCAGAGUCGGGAAUAAAAAUACCGUUUUAAAUUUAUAUUAUUUUUAUUCGUUUGUUCAAUUUUAUUUAGCUAGAAAAAAAAUAAGAAAUAUGUGCAUUUAAAAAAAUAAAUUUAUUAUUAUUUAUUUAUUCACUGGCGCCAAAGUCGGGAAUAAAAAAAAUAUAUAUUGAUUUAAAUUUAUUUUUUUAUAGCUACGUAAUAUUUAUCAACGCCAGAGUUGGAAAUAUUCGUAGUUAAAUAUUGAAGGACGUGUCUGCAUUCCAUACGCAUUUUUAAUUGAAUCAACAUUUUUGCAUAAAUUGCAUGAUUUACAUUUACAGGUUGAAAUAUAGGUUCCCAUUUGAAACCUACAUAUAAUAAACCCUUUCGAGAAAAGACAAAUGGAAAACGAAGAAAGAGCCCAGUUGGAAGCCCAACAUUAAAAAGAGGUGGACAAUCUUAAGAAGAAGUCGCAAGGCUUACUAAUCUACUCGAGCAGGUCUUGAGAGAUAAAUUCGGAAAAGCAACAUUUACAGCUCAGCUUGAACCUAUGCUUGUAAAUCCCUUCAAUCUACAAAAUCUGGGGGCAAAUGGGUUGUCAUCUGAUUUUCAACAAGCCAUGCAGUUUCAUCCAGCAUACCCCACAAGAAUGUCGUUUACCAUUGAUUCUACAGAGAAUGAAUCUCAAAAGGGCAAAAUGGUAAAAGAAGAUGAGUUGAACAAAUUCAUUGCCCUAGAACAAAGGAUGAGCGCAUUUGAGGGAAUUCACCUAUAUGAUCCUAUAAAGGCUGCUGAGAUGUGUUUGGUGCCCAACGUUGUCAUUCCCAAAAAUUUUAGAGUGCCAGAAUUUGUUAAAUAUACGGGAACUCAAUGCCCUAUAACUCAUCUCAAAGCAUACUGCAACAAAAUGGCUGAGGUGGUUCAUGAUGAGAAAUUGCUGAUUCAUUUCUUUCAAGACAGUUUGAGUAAUGUUGCCCUCACUUGGUAUAUGCGGUUGGACAAUACCAAGGUUAAAAAAUGAAAGGAUUUAGUUGAUGCCUUCAUGAGGCAAUAUAAGUUUAAUAUAGAUGUGGGCCCUGAUCGAUUAAGCUUGCAAGCUAUGGAGAAGGAUAACAAAGAGUCCAUAAGAGAAUAUGCCCGAAGAUGGAGUGGGUAGCUGCACAAGUUAACCCUCCCAUGUUGGAAAAAGAAAUGAUCAGUUUAUUUUCUAACACCUUUAAAGCUCCAUACUUUGAAUACUUAGUUAGAAGCUCUGCACAAUAUUUUACUGACCUAGUUGUUAUAGCUGAGAGGAUUGAACAAGCCAUUGGGUUAGGUAAGAUCGCUAACCCGACUGAGAAGAAUGGUUUCACUGAAGAUGGUUGCCAAGGCACUUAUCAUUUAUAUAGCUAAUUGCCUCACAUCGACUCCUGGAAAUCAACUAUCUUGAAGAUAAAGCUAUGGUGAUAUUAGGUCGAGAAUGAUCUACAUUGGAUUUCAAUUGACUGUUGAAAAGAUGCCCUUGUCGAGGAGAAUGAAUGAUUGAAAUAUUCCAGAAAUUCCAAUCAAUGAUCGCUAAAUGUUUAGCCCCUUUAUAUGUUAUCUUGCCAGUACUCAUAGCCCAAGAUGUUGUCAUAAGUUCUUUCUUGUUGAACUUAUUUUCUAAAGUUUCAAUGAAAAUAAUGAGUUUGUCAUUCAAUCGUGUUUAUGAUUAGCAUUAUUCUUUUUUUUUCUAAGAGAGUUUUCUUAUAAAGAUUCACAAACACAUCUUUGAAGCCUUGUGCGAUCUCAUAGACGCAAUUCAUCUCUUUUACCAAGAAAUCAGUUUCCCUAUUAGAGUUUUGAAAAAAAUUGAUCUGGCAUUUUGAUUUCAAAAAAUAAUUUGAUGUUUAUUCAAAAACGAUAUUUUUGACAUUCUACUUGUAGAAUGACAAGUGAAUCAAGCAACUCCAUAAUUGAGGUGACUAAAUUAUAAAAACAAUUGUGAAAAAAAAAAGAGAAUAAACACCCUUACCCCAUUACUCUUGAAUCAUGUGUUUUUAAAUGUAUGAAUAAUGGUAUGUAGUGAACUUGUUGCUCAUAACUCAUGAAAUGCAUCUUUGCAAAGAAUAAACCAUCACACUAUACGAGGUCAAAGUUUAUUGAUCAUAGAUGCUUGCGCUUGAAAUGAGGAAAGGCCAUCUUUGUUAUUCAUUUCACGUUCUAAAAUAAGUACAUCCCUUGCAAACCCUUUUUGAGCCUGAAUAAUUUUUCUUUCAUAAAAAAAUCCCGACUAAGAUCACACCCUACACUGGGGACAAGUGAAAUUUCAAUGAUCAAGAAGGAUGAUAAAGCCAUGAGAAAGCCAAAAGGCAAAAGAGCCCAAGAAACUCAAAUGCUAGGGAUCAUGCCCACAUCACAAAAAAGGGGGCAAGUGAAAUUUCAAUGAUCAAGAAAGAGGAUAAAGCCGUGAGAAAGCCAAAAUGUAAAAGAGCCCAAGAAACUCAAAUACUAGGGGGCAUGCCCAAAUCACAAGAAAAAGUGAUAACCAAGAUAAAGUGAGUAUGCUCUAGCGAAGCAAUGGAAAAGAAAAAAAAAGGGGCAAAUCAAAGAAGAGCGACAAAGGAAAAUAUGAAUGACGUCAAAAGUCAAACUAUUGAUCGUGAUCUUCAGUCUUUGAAACCCUGAAACACUCUUUGAGCCUUGUGAAUCCUUUUCUUUCAUAGCCGAAAACCACAGCCUUCGUUACGUGCCUGUAGAAGUCCUUUCUAAUCAAGCAAGCAAGCAAUCUAGAACAAUAAACAAUGCUCUCAAAAUGCAAAGAAUACUUUUUCAUAAGAUUCAUGACAUCAAGAAUAAACUACUCAUUAUUAUUCAUGCUGAUAAAAAUAAAUGUUCAAAAAGAGACAAGUUUUUUUCUUACAAAACCUCGAGCUUUUUCUCGAGCCCUUCACUUCAAAACAAAAGGUCAUCUCAUUAACCGAAGACCUCAUUACCAAACACAAGAGCAAAUAAUCUCUGUUCCAAGAAAGAAAAUAACCAAGGAGUUGCAAGAUUUCAAAAGCAAAUUGUUAUUUGACUCACAUCGAAAUAAUUUUUGUUUUCAAAAUGCAAGAUCAAGAUUUCAAGAUUCAUUCUAGACCCAUAUUCCUCCACCAAACUGAAAAGGAGAGAAAUGAGAGAAUGGCCUCUUAAAACCUUUAUUUAUCUAAGUCGCUGACAGAAGCACACUUAGGGGCAAUAACCAAUACAAGGGGGCAACAUUGUGUUUAGAAGGAAAGAUUCUAGAAAAGGAGAUGGUAAUUUCCUUCAACCAGACAAGGGGGCAUUUUGGUUUACAAAAGACAGCUCGAUCCUUUCAGUAAGUGAUACCGAAUGUUUUUAGCAGUCAGACGAGGGGUAAUGAAUAAUCCUCUCAAAUUAUUUGACGAAUUAGAAAAUCUUUAGCAAGCAAGUGGGUCACGAUGGGCACCACAAAUGCUGAGUUAUGCAAACAAAUUUGGAAGUAGACUUACAUGGGCCAACUCGAGUGGGCUGGAAGUCAAAUGACAAAGAUGACUCAAAUCAGAUAGCAAGAUCUCAUCAAUCAAUCAACAAGAAGACUAUGAAGAAAUGAGGGCCUAUAUUUCAAAUCAGGUAAAGAUGCAUGCAUAUCAUUUAACUUUGAGACAUUGGACAAUGAGUUUUGCAAAUUUCAUAUGAGAAAAUUCCAAUGAAAUCCAUCAAGUGGAAGGCCAACUUGAUGGCCAAAAUCAAAAUUGCUGUUGAAAAAUUUUUCAUUUUUGAGAAUUUUUCAACCUGGGCAGGCCGCCCAUGAGAAUUAGGCCACCAGAAAAAUCUCUGUAUUUUUUCACCACUUUUCAGCCUCAACCAUCAUAGGUAAUGCAUUUCCUAUCCUACCUUCAUUCGAGCGCGCCUUCGAACCCUUGUCUUAUCUCCAUUCGAGCGCGCCUUCGAGCCCUCAUCUGAGUUCUUUUCGAGCGCGCCUUCGAGCCCUCGACCAUCAAAGGUAGUGCAUUUUCUAUCCUACCUCCAUUCGAGCGUGCCUUUGAGCCCUCGUCUUACAUUCGAGUGCGCCUUCGAGCCCUCGUCUUAUUUCUUUUCGAGCACGCCUUCGAGCCCUCGACCAUCAAAGGUAGUGCAUUUCCUAUCUUACCUCCAUUCGAGCGCGCCUUCGAGUCCUCGUCUUAUCUCCAUUCGAGCUCGCCUUCGAGCCCUCGUCUGAGUUCUUUUCGAGCGUGCCUUCAAGCCCUCGACCAUCAAAGGUAGUGCAUUUUCCAUCCUACCUCCAUUCGAGCACGCCUUCGAGCCCUUGUCUUACAUUCAAGCGCGCCUUCGAGCCCUCGUCUUAUCCAUUCGAGUGCGCCUUCGAGCCCUUGUCUUACAUUCGAGCGCGCCUUCAAGCCCUCGUCUUAUCCAUUCAAGAGCGCCUUCGAGCCCUCGUCUUACAUUGAGCCCUCAUCUUAUCCAUUCGAGCGCGCCUUCGAGCCCUCGUUUACAUUCGAGCGCGCCUUCGAGCCCUCGUCUUAUCCAUUCGAGAGCGCCUUCGAGCCCUCGUCUUACAUUCGAGCGCGCCUUCGAGCCCUCGUCUUAUUUAUUUUCGAGCGCGCCAUCGAGCCCUCGACCAAAAAAAAAAACCAAACAAAACAAAACAAAAAAAAAAAAAAUGGGUUGUCUCCUAAAUGGCUUGUUUCUUGAUUUCUACAUCUCUCUAUAAAGAUUAUGCGUCAAUCUACUGUUUUCAAGACUAAAAAAAAAAAGAGUUCUUUCUGUAUCUACCUUUAUAAAUUUACUACACAAAGCUAAAAGAAAAUGAAAUUUUCUAAUAUCUUUGCAUAGUAAAUAUUACAAAGAGGGGGCAACUGUCAUAACCCAAUUUUUGAACAAAUAAUAAAAAUAAAAAUAUAUAAAUGAGGUUAAAACAACACAAAUUCAAAGUUCAUGGAUGAAAUUAUCAAAUUUUGAGAAUAAUUUGGUUAGAAAUUGAAGAAUUAAUAAGUUGGGAAAUUUAUUUAAAUUUUGGAUUAGUUUAAUUAAUGAAAUUAGAAGAAUUAAUAAGUUUGGGACUUAAUUAAACUUUGAUUUAAUUAAUUAAAUAAAUUCAGGGACUUAAUUGAAAUUUAUCCAAAAAGGGCAAAAUUGAAAGAAUUAUUAAGGACCAAAUUGAAUAAUCCAGGAAUUAAGGACUGUUUUGUAAACAGUGCACCAAUUUAAGGAUUUAAUUGAAAUUUAUCCAAAAGGGGCAAAAUUAAAAGAAAUGUUUUAAUUGCUCAGGGGUCCAAUUGCAAAAUUUCCAAUGUUCGGGGGUCAAACUGAAACUGUCCACUGGUUACUUGAAAACAUUGUCGUUCCUGAUGGAGUCCGUUGCUGCCAAAACGCUGCCGUGGCUGGUGGAACAGUCGUGUUCGUCUUCUCCAUCCCGAUUCAACAGGCUGAAGAUCUACAACAGAUUUGAUCGCCAUGGACCACGUCUCUCGCCCCAGAUCAUGGCAUGGAAGAGAAGAAUCUGGCCUAGAGAGGCAAUCGUGGGGAUGCCUAUAAAAGAGAGGCAAAAAUCAACAGUGAGGGAGAAAAAAAACCCAGAAACAGGGCAGGAAGAAACCCAGAAAAAACCAGAAAAACGCAAGCAAAAAACCCAGAAAAGAAGAAGAAAAACAACCCAAAAACAAGCAAAAAAAAAAAAUAUAGAGAGAAAGAGAGAACAAGAGGGUAGCACACAUGAUGAGAAUUAUCCUUGAAAUUGUCUUCGUCCCUGCAAAAAAAGAGUAACCCGAAAUCAGUGAAAAACUCAAAGAAAACCGGCAUACCCAUUAUCUUCUUAGUUCGUUCAUCUCAAAGAACUGUAAAAAAUAAAAGACAGUGGGAUAGCUGGGAGAUAAAGGAAGCAGAAGUAAAAGUCAUAGGCAGGCGAGAGGCGACCACCAUGUCGCAAGCAUCUUCGUCAUCUUCAGAAAAACAGGUACGCCCCUUCUUCAAUCUGUUUUUGCCUUCUGUGAAUUAGUGUUGCAAGAACACUGUGCGAAGGUUCGCACUGUUCAUGCACGCGUGAAAUCACUUCACGCGUGCUUUCUUUAAUUUCUGCCCAGCCGAGUCACUAGCUUGGGCCAGUGACCUGGCCGGGCUAGAUGGGCUUAGCCCAGCCACCAAUAUACAUGCUGGGCUGGAUUUAGCCCAGCCCAGCCCAAAAAAUAAAAUAAAAAAUAAAACAGAAAAAAUUAAAAAUUAAAAAAAUGUGUAUGCAUAAAUAAAAAUAAUGUAAAUUUAUUGGUUUAUUCACUAACGCCAGAGUUAGGAAUAAAAAUACCAGUUUAAAUUUAUAUUAUUUUUAUUCGUUGUAUUUUAUUUUAUUUAGCUAGAAAAAUAAAAAAAAUAUGUGCAUGCGUAAAAAUAAAUGUAUUAUUAUUUAUUUAUUCACUGGCGCCAGAGUCGGGAAUAAAAAAAAUAUAUAUUGAUUUAAAUUUAUUUUUUUAUAGCUACGUAAUAUUUAUCAACGCCAGAGUUGGAAAUAUUCGUAGUUAAAUAUUCGCUAGCGCCAGAGUCAGGAUUAUUAUAAGCAAAUUUUCUUUAUAUAAAAAAAAAUAAACAUUUAGCAAUAUAAAACAAAACCAGCAAUGCAGUCUGCCUCAGGCAGAACGUUUAAGAGGUGAUAAUAUCUUCCCUUUUACGUAACCAGUCCCGAACCAUAGAAUCUUUGUUGACCAGUUAGGGUUCUAGUGACCAUAAUACUAGGUGGCAACUCCUUAAACAAGACCUUUUCCCCUAAAAGAACAAGAUGCCAGAAAUCUGUUCUUUUUCCAUAAUUCAAUAAUUAAUUUUUUUAAGGCCGCCGCGAAAUCGGGUGUGACAAUAAUCUUUUCUAGGUUUACAAGGCGAAUCCAAGAAGAUGGAACCAAGAUUUCUGUAAUACUGCAAUUCCUUACUUCAAUUAUUCGGAGAGAAUCGUAAAUCAAUUUUGCACUACAAAUGCAUUUUAGUUCUGGUAAAUUUUUCAAGCACAGGUGUGUCUCAACUUUGGAAGUUCAAAUUCGGUGUUUCUGAUGCUGCUUUCUUCACCCAUAAACCCUUCUUCAUCCGAUCUUGCUCCACCUAUUAUCUCCUCCAUUUUCUCACAUUGUUCAACUUCAAUCCUUUCCAGGUUUACAAGGCUUGGUAGCAAGACAGGAGGGAACAACUUCUUCAUACCUUUACAACCAGAAAAAUAAAACCAUUUAAGACUAGAAAAUAUACCAUUAUAAGAUGGAGAUGGCUGUGGUAGUGGGGCAGAGCAUAACCAAGAAGAUGAAACCAUGCUCUCCAUGCUAUUGCAAUUUAAAAUGUUGAUAUACUCCAGUUCAGUUGCAUACUUUAAUGACAAAACAUCACCUAAACUUCUCGCAUCGAUACAUUUACAAAUUGGUUGUUGAAUGUCAUUUGAGGAGAUGACCUGAAAAUCUCCAUCUCUAUUGAUAUUCAAAUUACCCAUAACAACCAUUUUACUUCCGAGACCAUUGUACACUAAUUCCCAAUGUUCGUGUUCGCUGAGCUGUCCUAUAACAAUUUUGUAUGUGCUUAGUGAUUGGGUCUCAUCCCGAGAUUUGAGAUACUCCACGUAGUUAGAGUGAUCUUCAAAAUGGCAUUCCAAACUUUCCAACUUCCUCAAGCAUCCUACUUCCUUUCCUUCAACUGUUAUUGGAGCAUAACUUUCCACCCGGUAAUUUCCUUUCAACAAUAGAAUCCGUUCCUCUAGUAUCAAGACUUGUAGGCGAGAGAGUUUAGGUAAUAUCCACCGGAAACUUCUUUUUACCGUAUCCAUUCAUUCUUAGAUACCUCAAAUUGGAUAGACAUUUCAUGCCAUGAGGAAUCUUUUUAAGUGGACAAUGAGAGAGAUCUAACUUCUUCAGUGCCCUGAGCUUUUUCAAUGAUGGUACACGGCGUAACCUCCGACAAUCUUCGAGCAACAAUGAAGUGAGACCCACCAAAUCAGAGACAGAAUCAGGCAAACAUUUAAUAGAUGUUCCACACAGAUCGAGGACCUUGAGCCCAUGCAUUUGCUCGAAAAAUGAACCCGCAAUGAAUCGCAACUCAAGAUUAUUACAUAGCAAUAAGGUUGACAGAUUUGGACACCUCGGUGAAUGGCUGGAACAAAUCUCUUCAAUUUUGUUCUCCAUUAGUGAAACGGUCAUAAGUUUCUCAGUCCACUUCUCUAUAUCCGGCAAUUCUUCUAAUUGUGCACCAGCUUCAACAAUGGCUUGAGAGUUCUCUUCCAGUAUUUGGAUGGCCAUGUCCCUAAUCAAGUCAUGCAUCUUGACAGAAUCACCACCAUGCAUUCUUUCCAAUAGACAAACAUAUUCAAGUCUAUUAAGCAUUGUGUGGCCUUUGUUAAUUUCUGCCUCCCUACUCUUUUGCCUUUUUACCACUCCCCCAUCAAUCAAAUAAGCUAUCAGAUUCUCUCUAGGGAUCACAAAGUCCUCUGGAAAUAAUGCACAAUACAAGAAACAUCGUUGUAGAGCUCUAUCACUUAGGUGGGUGUAACUAAAUCUCAAUAUCUGAAAUACCUCCUCUUCCACUAUAUCUUGCAUAACUCUUGAUUGUCUGAGGUCCUCCAAAGCAUCGCUCCAUUCGUGGAUGUCAUCUACCCCCUUCAUGGUUCCAGCAAUUGUUUUAAUUCCCAGCGGCAAACCAUCACACUCCCCUGUUAUAAAUUUUGCAAUUUGUUCCACUUCUGAAGGAAGUCGUGUGUCAUGUCCAAGUAUCUCCAUGAACAAAGUCCAAGCCUCUCCAUCAGAAAGAGGAUUCACUCUGACAUUGUUUCGGCAAUUCAUCUGUCGACAAACCUCUAUUGAUCGAGUUGUUAUAAUCAGCUUGCAUCCUUUCAAUGUGACAGGAAUCCCCACUUUGUGUGGUUCAAAGGAUCUCCACAAAUCAUCUAAAAUGAGAAUCCAUCUUUGUUUCUCCAUUAGUUUUUGUGACAAUUUCACAGAUAUGUGCAGCUCCUCCUCUUUAUUGGAAAGAGAUAAAUUUAUAUUGUUUGCGAUCUUCUUCUGCAAUGUAUCAAUGCUGCAAUCUCGAGACACGGUCACCCAGUAAACAUCAUGAGAAAUAUCUGGACUUUGUAGAAGCUCGUUAUAGAUAUGCUUCAGGAUUGUAGUUUUACCAGCUCCCCCCAUCCCGUAAAUGCCAAUGGUUGAGACAUCAUCAUCCAUCAACAAAGACCAUAUCACAUUCUUAUUCUCUUCAAAUGCUCGACCCACUAGCUUUGUAGAGCCAGUAGGCAGAGGAGCUCCUCUGGUAAGCGCUUCAGAAGACCUAGUUCCUGCGCCAGGCUGCGCUACUCCUCCAAUCCCAUCAUCCUUCAUUAAGAAAGUACGCAUCUCCUCCAAGCUUUUUUCAUACAUAUCUGGUGCUUGUAUCCUUGUUGCAUCUCCUGUCAAAUUGUCGACUUCAUUGUUUUGCCCUUGUGGACUGGUUGAAAUGGCAUUAUGAUUCACAUUGCCUCCGGAAGAGCUUGCGCCUACGCCAGGCUGCACUAAUCUAUCUGUUGCACCUCUUCUACUAUAAUUUUCAUCAAUCGCGUGUCUCCAAGGAGAGACAAUUCUGUCAACAUGCUGAACAGAUCCUUCACCAGUGUUUUCCAUGCUAUUGUCCAUGUCUAAAUGCGAACAAAGUCUCUCUUCCUCCCCAACUUGUUCCAUGCCCUGAACUCCAACUACGUUCUGUGUAUCAUUCACGAUGACAUCAUUGUUUACUGAUGGAGAACAGAGUUGAUCAUUUGUUGUUUGAGAUGGAUCUCCUCGAUGCUCAUCAGCUUGAUUAAAUGAUGGCCUCUCAUGAAAGCUACCUCCCUCCAGAAGCUCCAUGUCUUCAGCAGUGAUGCUAGCCAUCCAAUCUUCGAGCGAAAGAUCUUCUCGUUGAUGUGACAUCAUCAUUUCAUUGUUCUGUUGUUGUGCUGAAGCUGAAAUUGCAUUCGUGACCUCGUUAUUGCUUGAGCCUGCUACAGUUUUACGUUUUUUUGCUGGAGGGCCAUCAAUUGCUGCAAGGGCUGCAUCCCGGACAUGUUGAGGCACUUGUGCACAAUUUUGAGCACCACCACGUUUCCUUCCUGACAAGUGGUGUUUGAUCCUCGUAAUUGAAGUACGUUCGGCAAAAAAAUGCCCACAAAACUUACACCUCAUGCGACCAUCAUCCAUCUUUUCAACAUAUUCCCAAAAAGAUCUGUCAUCAUGAUGCAAAACUGGAUCAUUCUGUCGAAGCAUUUUGAUCAGUGGCUCUGUAGAAAAGAAAAGAAAAGGAUCUGUCAACAUGAUGCCAAAAUGGAUCGAUCAGGGUCAAAAUAUUGAAUAUAAAUUAAUGGAGGUUACAUUAAUUGUAAAAGGGAAGGUUGAAACUGAAAUAACAAGUUAAAAACAGUAGAGAAAUUACAAAGAAAAAACAAUGAAUUUAAGGAUUAUAGAAACUGAGAAAGACAAAUUUAAUUUGUUUUGGGAACUGUAGAAUAUGAUCCUAACUCCAAAGUUUCUCAAUAAAAUUUCUUCAACUUGUUUUGGCACUUAAAAGAUCGAAAAAAUAUUAACAUGUGAAGAACAAAGAAUAAUAUACCUGGAUUCAGCUAUUGAUCGAUGUUCUUCAAGUGCUGGCUUGCUGAGGCAGUAUUCAGAAGAAGAAGAAGAAGAAGCACAGAUCAGAGAAGAGUAUAGGUUAAGCUCGUUCAUUGAGAUGAGACGUGGAAAGGGAAAUAGUUGUGGAGAAAAAGAAAAAGAAAAGAGAAAAAGAAAAGAGAAGAAACUCUGGGGGAGAGAAAUCUGAGCUUGAAACUGAGAGGGGCUAAUGUGAAAAGACAAGGGAGGACACAGAUUGGAAAAUGCCCGACAGAGAAAUGCGUUGGGAAUAAAAAGAGAGCUUGGGUUGGGUCGCUUUCCAUGGUUUAUCUAGUUCAACAUUUUGCCCUUUUUGUUGUGAGAUAUUACAUAGCCGUUGUAACAGGAAAGUUGUGGAGAUUUGGGAGGAAUAUGGGGAUAGUAUGGGUAUUUCGAAGAGAUAAGUCCGAGGAACAUGGAUCUUACGUAAGGGCACAACAAAUGGACAUGGAAGAAACGAAAGGUCGGCAUGAGGCUUUGGCGAUUUUCUAUGUGUGAAUAUCUGGACUGUAUACAGAUGUGCAAGUGAUUUCCAUGUUGAACAAGUGGCAGAGAAUUAAACUGAUAAUAUAAAUAUUACAAAGAAUAAUAAAUUAAAAAACUAAAAUAUAAAUAUUACAAGUUUAGUGGAAAUGAUUUUCUCUUCUCUCUUUGUUAGUAGAUUGGACUGACGCCUGAAGAUUAGUAGAGCCAAUAUUGUUUCAGAGACAGAAUAUGAGUUCUUGCAAAUUAUUAGUAAUGCAAUAAUUACCAGAGAUAAAAAGGUAACGUGCAAAGGAAAAGGAGCAACGAAAUUUCUUUAUAGCUCUUGCCUGAGCAUCUCAAAGGUUUCUUCAUAACUAUAUAAAGUUUAUGGUCUAUUUUAUCAACCGGGUUGUUGGGGAGGUUUGGUUUGCCUAACCGUGAUUGGGUCUAAUAUGAUACUCUCAAAAUCAAAUGGUAUAAGGUCUUAUUUGUUUGCUGGAAAAUAGUUUUUUUUUUUAAAUGAAUUUUGGGAAAGUGAAUUAUUUUCCGAUGUUCGGUAGUGUAAUGAAAAAUAAGUUGGAAAACACUUUCUAGUGUUUGGUUAUGUCAUGAAAAAUAAACUAGAAAAUAACUUAUUAAUGUUUUAUUUUUUUCAAGUUUAUUAAAAUAAUAAAGAGCAAAUCUUACAAAUUAAAAAGUUGAAUGAGAAUGAAAUUGAAAAAAAUAUAUAAUUUCAUAAAUUAUUUAAAAUAAAUAAAUAAUAAUCAAAAUAAUAGAGAUUAAAUCUAAAAAAUUAAAAAUUAAAAGAUGAAGAAAUUAAAAUAAUAAUAAUUAAAUUUUCAUAAAUUAUUUCAAAUAAAAUAAGUAACAAUGAAAAGAAUAAGAACCAAAUUUGAUAAAUAAAAAAUUGCAAUUAAAAAAAGAUAAGGGAAAAGCAAAUAACAAUUAUAAAAAUAAGGAUCAAACUUAAUAUAAAAAUUAAAUUUUAAGGGGUUAAAUUGAAAAAUAAAUAUUCAAAACAAAAUAUAUAUAACAAUCAAAAGUUUGAGUAUCAAAUUUGAUAUAAUCAGCAAAUAAUGACUUUUCUAAAUUUUUCACAACUUAUAGAAAGUAUUUUCUGUUCAAAAUAAAAAAAAAAACACUUUCCUGAAAGCCAAGUCAAAUUUUUCUUUAACUGAUAAAGUAUUUUUUAUUGUCUGAAAAAUAUUUUUUAUUAAUCAAUUUUUCUAAUAACAAAAAUGCACCAAAAAAAAUUAAAACUAGGUUUUUAAAAACCAUUUUUCAAGAAAUAACCAAUCCCUCAAUUUCCACGAACCUUUUUUCAAAGCCUGGGAGCUCUUUUCCCAAGGAAGACUUUGACUGGGCGUCGACUGUACCUUUUGUUUUUACUUUUGAUUAAGAAGUUAGGCUUCCCAGUAAUAUAUUUACAGAUAUUCUGAUGCCAUGUUUCCAUAAUAUACCUUAUCUUUUUCUUUUUCUUUUUAUAUAUCUUACCAAACAAACUUCUUUGUGAUAUUAAAAAGUUUCAAAAAUAUUUGUAGAUUUUUUUGAAUUUAUUUGUAGUUCCUUGUAUUUUUUUAGAUAUUUUAUUAUAUAAUUAAUUUGUGAAUUUUUUUUUAAAAAUAUAAAUUUAAACUUAUUUUAUUAGUUUAUUCACUAAUGUUAUAAUUAGAAAUAUCAUAUGUUUUUUUUUGUUAUAUAAUAUUUACUAACAUCAAAAUUAAAAAUAAUUAUAAAUAAAUAUUUAUUGAUAACUAUAUUCAAAAUAUUACAAGUAGAUCAUAAUAGCAUAAGCUGACUUUGUGAGCAAAACAGGCAGGCAACGUCUAACUUCCCAGUCUGGUGGUCGCAUUGUUUUUACGAACUGAAUGGUUUCUUGCCUUAAAAAUUUGUGUUGCGAAACUGAAAAAUUAAUGAUGUAAGAUAUUAUUUGAAAUGGUUUUAUGAUGCAGUUCUGAAAUUAUCUUCAUGCCUAGUUCAAUGGAAUCCAUAGCAAGUGUCAGCGAAACAGAGGAUGAUAAUGAAAGAGUUGGUGCCUCAGAGGAUGAAACGAAUGACCAUUGAGAAUAAAUUCUCCGGUACCUGUGAGUUUCUAUCGUUUGCUUCUUUCGAAAGUAACAAGUCUGAUUUUCAGACAUCAUCGUUCUCUCCAGAUGAUUAAGGAUUUCUUGCUCUCUAGAGUUAUAUAUAUAUAUAUAUAUCAAUUUCCCAUAAUUAAAAGGUGUAACUUUUUUCUUUUUCUUUUUCGCUCCUUUUUUCCCUCACUUAUGGGAAUUCGCAUACAUAUGUGCCUCAUAAAUCAUUAUUGAACUUUCUUUCUCGGUCUUUUUUCAUCUUCUCGCCAUACAAGGUUACUUUAGGAAAAUUUGGAACCUCGUAAGUUAAUGCUGUUCAGAUGUGUCUCAGAUUUAAUCUCAAUUAGCAUAAAAGUUUAUUAAAAAACACUUUAUUGUGGACAUAAAAAAAAGUUAGUGUUGUGGAAUUAUAAAAUAUAAGAGAUGAAUUACAUAUUCUUAUCGGGAAUUUAAAAACAAAUAAACUGGGGUGACAUUGAAAAGUAUAAUUAAAUAGUCUUGUACUUGUAAUUUUGUCGAAUAUGCAUGCUCUUUUUUAACUAAAAGAUAAAUAACAUGACGUUAUUUUAAUAAGCCUGCGAAUUAUUUUUUUCCUGCAAUCUUUCAUGAUUGUAAUUAAUAAUUUUGAGAACAUGUGGCGCAUACAGCAAUAUCUCGAGGCCCACAGUGUUUUUUUAAUAUUAUUAUUCUUUUUUAUACACUAACAAAUUACUUCGGGUCUGGAAGCUUUCCCUUUACAAGCUUUCAUUGUUCGAAAAGAAAAAUAAAAAGAAAAUAUUGAAAGGAGAGACUAGCAUAGGGAGCAGGAGCAGGGAAGACGAUGCUGGACAACCUGGAGGUGGGUCUAAGUUGCCAUGAAACUGAAUAGAAUGGAUAAUGCAAGUCCAAGGAAACAUAUCUGGCCACGUUACUGUAAAAGCCUCUCCGUUGACUGAUCAUGUGCAGGGCCGACCAUUGUAAUCUUCAUGGAGACCGUUUCUAACACCAGAGAAUGUGGUCCUUGUCGUGAACCCUGAGAGGGCUUCAGAAGGAGAAUCAACGGUCUGGAAAUUGACCAUUUCCACUAGAAAACAAGACCUAGCAGUAUGCACUAUAAAUGCUUUCAAGUUCAGGUAAAUAUUCCAAUCUCAGAAUCCUUAACUUUGGGAGACUGAGCUUUAGUGAUGGAACAGCAGUAUGUUUUAAUUUCUUCCAGGUUUCAUACAUAACAAGCAACGCGAUUCAGAACAGAAAUCAUACCACUAGAUGGCAAUGGUGAUGAAGCUCAACAAGACCAAGAAGAUGAAAGCAAGCUCUCCAUGCUAUCACAGUCCUUAAUGGUGAUCAUGACUUCAAGUUCUGUUGCAUACUUCAAUGAUGAAACUUCGCAUAAACCUGAAAAUCUCCACUGCUGAUUCUGAAGUCAUUCAAACCUGAGUGUUUUCCUUGUGUGAAAAUUUGUAUUCAUAUUCGUUCCACAAUCGAACACAAAUUUUGCCCAGUGCUUGAGAUUUGAGAAACGCUGCGAAGUCAGAGACUUGUUAAAAACGGCAUUCCAAAGUCUCUGACUUCCUCAGGCAAGCUUCUCCUGUUCCUUUAAUUAUAACUAGAGCAUGUACUAGGAAUACAGGAAUAUCUUUCCUUUAUUUCCCCCUUUAUAUUUGUAUUCUACUUUGAAAAAAUAAUUUAUUACUAGUUAACGAUUUAGGGUGACUUACAGAAUAGAUCUAUUCUUUUAUUAGGUUACUUUAACGAGAAAUGUUCAUCGUGGAGAAAUUUGAUAGGAUGGAUAUAUAAUGUUAAAUUUUAAUUACAAAAAAAAAUAUUUGUGCUCAUUAUAAACUGACAAUAUAAAUAAAUAAUAUUUCAUUUGAACCAAUCUGGAUGUUUGAUGUAGGCGGAAUUUAAAAAAGGUUUACGUGUUUUUUUACAGGCUAGGAAAAUCAAGCUAGACAAUGAAACAAAAUUAGAAUCCUAACACAGAAAAUUAACAAAGAAUUCAAAAAUAAACAAUAAUUCCAAAAAUAUCUAGAAAAAAUAAUAAAAUUAGUGUAAACAGCAAUCUCCAUUUAUCUCCUCCAUCUUCUCACAUUCUCUGACUGUAAUCUUCAUUUGAGGAGAUGACCUGUAAAUCUCCAUCUCUGAUGAUAUUCAAAUUACCCAAAACAACCAUUUUACUUCCCACAGACCACUGUACUUGAAUUUCCAAAGUUCAUCUUCCCUGAACUGUCCUACCACAAUCUUCCAAAGGUAAUAUCAACAGGAUUAGCCUACCAGAUUAUGGAAGGCUAAUGUUAUCAGCAGGAAGAUGUUGAUAUCGACAUUAAAUGAAGACUAAUAAUAUCAACGAGAUUAUGUUAAUAUCAACAUUACUAAGUGACAAGUUUUCUUACGAGAUAAUGGAAGCUAGAAAUACGAAGAAGGUUAUAUUGAUAUAAAUACUUUUACAAUUUGAUUAACCUUAUCAAGUUAUAAAAGCUAAUAAUAUCAGUACGGUUGUAUUAUAUCGGCAUUAUCAAAAUAUUAGAAUUCAUAUUAUAUUUGGUAUCAAUAUAAUUUUAAAAUAAAUGAGUACUAAUAUCCCUGUAAGGAUAUUAGUAUUUAUGGAAUUAAUUCGAUUGAGAACAUGGACUUUUCAAUUACAGAAAUUAAUGCAUGCCUAAAGAAAUAAAUUAAAAUAAGUAGUUAAUUACAAGUAAUGCAAGGAAUAGAUAAUGUAUUAAUUUUUAGCUCAUUAUCAAAUUUUGAAAUUUUAUUCAUCUUGGGAAUGAGUUCAAUAUAUAAUGUUUCGAAAUCACGUCACAACCAAAAAAGGGACUUGGUGGUAAUUGUCUAAUGAAUGCAAUUCUAUAUAUAUAUAUAUAUGAAUCCACGGGUAAAGGUAUUAACAAAUGUUGUUAUUGUGUUCUGCAAUGAAUUGUUAGAAUUUAGAUUGGAUUAUAUUUAUUUUGAACUAUGAGAGCUUGAAAUAUUGUAAAUACAUAGAAAACUCUACUAAAAUUUUGUUGUAAUCACAAUAAUAAAAAAAAAACGGAGGACUAAUUGGUAGUAAUUGUCUACUGAAUUGUUUCGAAAUCACGUCUAACCAUGAUAUUUUAAUUUUAAUUUUAAUUUUAGGGAGUACCAGCUCGUUGCUUUUUGUUUAAUUGUCUAAUGAAUUGUUUUGCAUUUUGUUUAUGGACAGAAAUUUGCCAUGACAAUCACUACAUCAAAAAUUUGAGGACACAACAGAGAAAUUAAAAAAAAAAAAAAAACAUUUUACAUUAAUGUUAACCCACUCGUAGAAAACAGAAAGUCAGCAAGAACAGCUCAUACAUUCUGUCCAAUACACCUUUCUGUGAUCUAUAAAACAAAAAAAGUGAGUCAAUCUUAUCAAACUUUGUACAGUCACUAUCUUUAACUAAGCUUCUUAAUUAUAUGUAAUUUGUCUAGGUAUUCUGUGAAUAUGUUUAAUUUCUUACUUGUUGUUUUUGUGUGUUGUAAUUUCUUGUAACUAAGAUUGUUGGUUCUCAAUGUAUUAAGUUUUUUAUAUUUUACAUUUAAUUCUCAAUAUGUAUUACUGGAUAGGUUAGUCUUGAAUUGGAAUGUCUUUUGCAAUGCUUCUGUUGCUUUUUUUGUGAAUUGUAAAUCAUUAGAUUACAUGUUGUCACCUGCCAUACUUCUAUAGUUUAAAUAUUAGGAAAAAAAACAUUUCAAUUCCUUUGGCAAUUGGCAUUGUAUUUGGUGGCAGCAGGGCAAUUGAUGUUAAGAGCCUUGCCUGGCGUCUUUGUUGUUGUUCUUAGGCAAUGCUAUGGUUGAAGCAGUGGUUUUGGCCACUAAGGUCUUAAAUCACUUAUUUACAGAAAUGCAUUAUUUAUUGAGACUUUAGCUUGUACAAUUUUUACUUUGUUGAAUUAGCUAGGUUGAAUGUGAAUAGAUGACAAAACUAUAAUAAAAAAUAAUUGCUCUAAUUCUGCUAUUAGCCAGGUUAAAUGUGAAUUAGGCAGGUUGAAUGUAAAAUGAUAAUUUGCAAUUAUUUAAGUGUAAAAAUAUAACAGUGAGGAUUGAGGAAGAUAAUUUUGUUGAAUAUGUUUGGAUAUUUGUAUUGUUUAAAAUAUUUUAUUUGUGAUUUUAUAAUUUUUAGUUAAAAAAUUUCACUUUUAAUUUUAUAAUUUUAUAAUUCAAGUUUACAAAUUGAAUUUAUAUUAUAUAUUCCGUAUCUUGUUAAAAAAAGGUUUUUGAUACCCUUGCAUGUGGCUAUUAGAGUCAUUGCGAUUCGCGAGCAACUUUACAACUUUAGCGAAGGGAAGCUGCAAGCUGUGUUCCAACUUGUUUUUUCAUAGUCUGUCACUAACAGCUGACCUGGCCCAGACUAGGAAGGUGCUCUUGUAUUGCAUUGCUAGUUUUUUGUUAUUACUAUAAAUAUAUAUAAUAAAAUAUUUUUAUUUUUUAUAAAGAAUUAUCAUCGCCUGAAUUGAACAAUCAUUUCUCCAUUUAAAUCGUUAAUAAUUUAUGUUUUCUUGAUUUAUUUCUUCAGAAAUUGGAAAGAGGAAAAAUUGAACAUAUUCUAGCUAAUGAUCAUUCAAGAAGCUGAGACUUUGUUAAAUCUCUAUUGCCAUUUUAAAGACAGAAAGGAUUAAAUAAUAAAAAACAAGAGCAGGAAAAGAGAAAAAGAAAAGAGAAGAAACUCUGGGGGAGAAAAUCUGAGCUUGAAACUGAGAGGGGCUAAUGUGAAAAGACAAGGGAGGACACAGAUUGGAAAAUGUCCGACAGCGAAAUGCGUUGGGAAUAAAAAGAGAGCUUGGGUUGGGUCGCUUUCCAUGGUUUAUCUAGUUCAACAUUUUGCCCUUUUUGUUGUGAGAUAUUACAUAGCCGUUGUAACAGGAAAGUUGUGGAGAUUUGGGAGGAAUAUGGGGAUAGUAUGGGUAUUUCGAAGAGAUGAGUCUGAGGAACAUGGAUCUUACGUAAGGGCACAACAAAUGGACAUGGAAGAAACAAAUGUUGUAUACAGAUGUGCAAGUGAUUUUCAUGUUGAACAAGUGGCAGAGAAUUACACUUUAGGUGGCCCAUAAUUGACUUUUGGUCUUGACUGAUUUUCACAUGGGUGUUAAAAAAAUAAAUAAAGAGAGGAUAAUUUGUAAUAUUUGUAUUAUAUCACUGGAAUCAACCCUUUAAAAUCUGAUAAAAUAAAUAUUAUAAAAAAUAAUAAAUUAAAAAACUAAAAUAUAAAUAUUACAAGUUUAGUGGAAAUGAUUUUUUCUCUCUCUCUUUGUUAGUAGCUUGGACUGACGCCUGAAGAUUAGUAGAGCCAAUAUUGUUUCAGAGACAGAAUAUGACUUCUUGCAAAUUAUUAGUAAUGCAAUAAUUAAAUGAAAAAUACUUUAAAAUACAACAAUUACCAUAAUCUUAAACAUGCAUUUAGAGUGUAGAUUUGUACAUGAAACCUACCAAAAUAACUAGAAAAAAAAAGAGAGUUUUUAUGAACUCAACAUUAAAAACAAGCAAACUCUAAGGCUGUAAUAGGCAGCAUCUAACUUCCUAGUCUGGUGGACGCAUUGUUCUUAUGAACUGAAUGGUUCCUUGCCUUAAAAAUUAAUGAAAGACAAGAAAUUGUUAUGGUUCGGCGACAGUGGCUUGCUUACAAAUGACUCGUAUUUAUAAUGAGUGAUACUGAUACAUAAAGAAAGGGAAAUAAAUCAAACAUAAUAUUAUAUAAUAAAUCAGGCAAUUCCUUAUGGCUGUUCAAUUUCUGAUGUAAAAUAUUAUUUGAAAUGGUUUUAUGAUGUAGUUCUGAAAUUAUCUUCUUGCCUAGUUCAAUGGAAUCCAUGGCAAGUGUUAGCGAAACUGAGGAUGAUAAUGAAAGAGUUGAUGCCUCGGAGGAUGAAACGAAUGACCAUGAGAAUAAAUUCUCCGAUACCUGUGAGUUUCUAUCGUUGGCUUCUUUCGAAAGUAACAAGUCUGAUUUUCAGACAUCAUCGUUCUCUCCAGAUGAUUAAGGAUUUCUUGCUCUUGAAUCAGAAGCAGGCAUUGAUCACUUUUGCAGCAGAUCGUACUCAAGCUUUAAACGAUCAAGCUAAACAUAAUAAGCCAAUGUUAUCGAUUCCAUGAAGAUAUACUCUCUUUUCAUGAAAGGGUUCAUCAGCAACUUCUAAUUUCUACUGCUUCGUUUUAUACAUGGAUAUCUGUUCAGAAACUUCCAUGAUAUCAGACAAAUGAAAAAUAAGUUUCAACCUCGAUCUCUAAUAAUGCAAAAAGCGCUACCAUGCCCAUAAGAAUCUUCUUUCAGCAAUCGGAAACUAGAUUUUCGGAUUUUACAGGACAAUAGCACCAUCCACUUCCUUACUUUGAGAGAAGAAAAACCUAUUUAAAACUUUACUCAGAAAACCUUAAAUUAUAAAUUGAUGAACUGAUUGAACAGCUCUUAGUACCAAAGAUUGAUUUCGGACCUCUCAGACAAGAGAUAAGAAUUGCGCAGCUAAAAAAUGAUCUGUUCAAGGAAAUACAAGUAACCUCUUGAGUCAGAUGGUACUGCAAUAGUGAAGAAUAAAUCGAUAUCCAAAAUCCCAGCAAGGAAAAGCUUGCUGUCAAACACUGCAGUUAAUUCGAUUUACACAGUCACUUUGCAAAUUAUCAAAUAAGUAAACAGAAUUGUCACACAAAUUGAAAUUACCAAGUUUAGCCCAGACAUCAUUAGAGUAGGAACUGAAACCAGAAGAGCAUCCAGCAAUCUCCACGAUUUUUUCCUUCAUUGGGUAUUAUUUAAAACUCAAAAGAAUGAGAAAAGUUUCUCUUUGAGAGAAUUUUGAUUUGUGGGUUUUGAUUUUUGAUUUUCGGAGUUUUAAAGAGACAAAAGAGAAGGACAAAGCGUACAUAGGAAGGAGAUGUCUCUACCAAGGCCAUGUUUGUUUUCCGGAAAGUAGUUUCUGGAAAAUCAUUUUCCAAACUUUCCUGUGUUUAUUUGUUAUUAGAAAAGUUGGUCAACGGAAAACACUUUCCGGUCAACGGAAAAUACUUUUCAGUCAAUUUCAGUCAAAGAAAAUUUUGACUUGGUUUUCAGGAAAGUGUUUUCCCUUUAGCUGUAUUUGUUUUUUGGAAAGUGGUUUCCGGGAAAUCACUUUCCAAACUUUCUUGUGUUUGUUUGCCAGAAGGAAAGUUGGUAAAUGAAAAACACUAUCCAGUAAAAGGAAAAUUUGGCUUAGUUUUCAGGAAAGUGUUUUCCUGAAAAAUUUGGAGGGAAAACACUUUCCAGAAGUUGUGAAAAAUUUAGAAAUGUCAUUAUUUGCUGAUUAUAUUAAAUUUAAUCCUCAAACUUUUGAUUGGUAUAUAUAUUUUGUUUUGAAUAUUUAUUUUUUAAUUUCAUCUCUUAAAAUUUUAUUUUUAUAUUAACUUUGGUCCUUAUUUUUAUAAUUGCUAUUUGCUUUUUCCUUAUCAUAUUUUUAUUAAAAAAUUUUAUCUAUCAAAUUUGGUCCCCAUUCUUUUGAUUGUUACUUAUUUUAUUUGAAAUAAUUUAUGAAAUGUUGAUUAUUAUUAUUUUAAUUUCUUCAACUUUGAUUUUUUUAAAUUUUUUUAGAUUUAAUCUCUAUUAUUUUGAUUAUUAUUUAUUUUAUUUGAGAUAAUUUAUGAAAUUAUAUAUUUUUUUUCAAUUUCAUUCUCAUUCAACUUUUUAAUUUGUAAGAUUUGUUCCUCAUUAUUUUAAUAAGCUAUGUAUGAAUAUAGGAUAUAAUAAAAAAAAUUCAUCAUUAUAAAUACUUUUUAGAUUUCAAUUUUUUUUAUUGUAAGUGAUUAAAUAUUUUAUAUUAAAUAUUAUAUAUAUAUUAGAUAAACUUGAAAAAAAAAUUAAUUCAUUAAUAAAUUAUUUUCCAGUUCAUUUUCCAUAACACAACCAAACACUGGAAAGUGUUUUCCAGUUCAUUUUCAUAACACUACCAAACAUCGAAAAAUACUUUCCCAAAAUUCACUUUCCAAAAGGAAACCACUUUCCAGCAAACAAACGGAGCCCAAGUUCAAUACAGUGCAGUGUUGAGGAAUGCUAAGGGGGGCUGCAUGCGUCUCUGUAAGAGCUCGGUUGGAAUUACCGUAGAAUAAUAUUUUUAUUAAAACUAUAUUAAAAUAAAAUAUAUAUAUUUUUAUUUUUUAAAAUUUAUUUUUAACACCAUAUUAAAUAAUAAAAAACAUUAUAAAAAAAUUAAUUUAAAAUAAAAAAUAAAAAAAAUUUUUUUAAAAAUAACUUUUAAAAUGCCUGAAUGAGAACUCACAUUUAUUUUUUUAAAAAAAAUAUUAUAUUUUUUUAUCUAUUUAUUGAAAAUUUAUUUAUAUAAAAAAAAACAAUAAUUUAUGAAAGAUUAAAAACUUAGGGUAAAUUCUUUUUUUUUUGAAUAACUGUAAGUUAAAAAGUACCAAAGAGGCUUUCCGCGGUGAAGAUUGAGAAUAUAAUGGAUAUAUAUAUUUUUUAAAUUCUAAAACAAGAUAUAUAUUUUUUUUAACAUGAAAAUAAUACUAUCUAAUUUAUUGAAUUAAAUAAAUUUUAUGAAUUCAAUUCAUAAAGUUGAAUAUCAAUUUUUGAAUUUGAAUUUUUUAAAAAAUAUUAAUUUAAAUUUUAAAUAGAAUUUAAUUCAUAAAAAUUAUACAAAAACAAAUUAGAUGAAAAAGGCUUGAUUUGCUAGAAUAAUUCCUUUGAAAUUAAUAUUCUAAAAAUACUCAUCUCUUUCUUUCCUCUCAGGAACUCUACACAACCACUCUGACAAAGAAAAGAGAGAAAAGAGAGAGAGCAUAGCAAAUAUGGUGACUAAAACAAAAGAGACGCAAUUGAAUAGAUUGUAGAGUCAAGCGGUCAAUGAAGGAGGAUGGGCAUAAGUGUAAGGCGUUCUGUCAAGGUUUUAAAGUAUGGUUUAUGGAUCCAAAAAACAGAUCCAGUCUUGAUCCUAAAGCUCAAACUACUAAACUAAUUACAGAAUCAAAAUCCAACCACACAACUACCUUGCUGCCAUCUACCUUGCCUCAGACACCACUGUCUCAGAUUUGCUUUGAGCGAUUCCCCUGUUGGGUAGAUUAUCGAAGCCACCGCAGAACUUUUAACAAAUAUGUAGUGAUUGUUAUGUACAUAUCACGAAGAAACAACAGAAGAAACCGGUUUAGCUUUUAACAAACACGGAGGUUUGGCCUUGUUACAAUGAAAACAGAUUCUUCGCAACAGGAGCUCCUUGGAAAGCUUUAUGGAGUAUGGUUUAGGUCUUAUCGUCUACGUGCAAAUUUGAAGCGGUUUCAACAUGUGAAUAAAGAUUCAACGCAUCGGAUUCCGAUUAAAAAAACAUGUUCAACGUGAAUUAGUACCAGUGAGGGAGCGAGACUGCAGAAGUUAUGCUAUGGUUGUGCGCAGAAAAAAAUUCAAACAGAGGAUAUCAACGGAGUCCCUGUCAUCCAAAACGAGACUAUUAAUGAAGUCCCUGUCAUCCAAAACGAGACUAUUAAUGAAGUCCCUGUUGUUCAACCAGUGGCUGCACACUUUAUAACACAUGAUCCAGCAGAGGAGGAGGUUGCAUGGAUGAAGAAUACCUUGUUAGGAGUGAUAAAUGAAGGUGUUAAUUAUCAAUGGAGUUCAAUUAACGGGUUUUUGUUCUAUGGGUGCAUCACAUAGAAUUUAUACAGAUGGUCCAAUUGAUUGAUUUGCCUGGACUGAAGCUACUGAUUUGCCAAUAACUGUUUGGAAUGUUUCGAGCAACAACAAGAUUAUAUCAGCAUACGGUAGAGCUAUAGGUUUUGACAAAAUCAAUUUGUGGUAUAGCAAUCUUGGUCAUAUUGAUCUUUUAAUUGGAACACGGCUUAACAGAUUUAUUAAAGAGCACACUACUUUGUGGUUAAAUGGGAAAGAUUAUAAGAUCAAAUUGCAGGAAUUGGAUCCUCUGCAUUAUCUAGUAUCUGAAGCUAUUGAGUACAGUACGGCAGCUUUUGAUCUGAUGAAGCAGGAAGAUGAGAGUGAAACAGACACUUUGAUGUUGAAAAUGCUGACGAGAUUGCAACUAAAAGCUGUGCACAUUUGGCUUAUUUGAUGUGUGCGGACAAAUUUGGUUUAUUUCCUUGAACAGCUCUUAGUACCAAAGAUUGAUUUCGGACCUCUCAGACAAGAGAUAAGAAUUGCGCAGCUAAAAAAUGAUCUGUUCAAGGAAAUACAAGUAACCUCUCGAGUCAGAUGGUUCUGCAACAGUGAAGAAUAAAUCGAUAUCCAAAAUCCCAGCAAGGAAAAGCUUGCUGUCAAACACUACAGUUAAUUCCAUUCAAUGCAAAUGAAUAAAAGAACAUGGUAUAUUUUAGCAGAACAGCAAGAAUUGUCACCAAAUUCAGCACAAAAGAGUAAAAUUGAAUUAACCAAUAGGGUUUACGUUCAUCAUUCAUGAUUUAUGUUAAAAAAUUCUCCUACUUUCUAACUCCAAUGUACUCUCAUUAUAAUUAGAUUCACUCACAUUCAACAAAUAGUACUUUCUCACAGUAACAAUCCCUCCACAAACAUGGAUGCACACAUACAUUAACAGGUUGCAUUCCAAAAAAUGAAACAACGAAAAUUAAGAACCAAACCCAGGAAAGUUUCUUUCUUUGCCAAAUCUCCUCAUCUGGGUUCAUUUCAUUUCAAAUUAACUUCCAAUAAAAUGUCAGUUUCAACACUAAACUUCACUAAAAACAGUUUCGUUAGUCAUUUUCUUAGGAAACAAAGAGAGCAUAACAUAAGAAAGAACACAAACUGUAGAAAGAAAGAGAAGUUGAAAAUACCAAGUUUAGCCCAGACAUCAUUAGAGGAGGAACUGAAACCAGAAGAGCAUCCAGCAAUCUCCACGAUUUUUUCCUUCAAUGGGUAUUAUUUAAAACUCAAAAGAAUGAGAAAAGUUUCUCUUUGAGAGAAUUUUGAUUUGUGGGUUUUGAUUUUUGAUUUUCGGAGUUUUAAAGAGACAGAAGAGAAGGACAAA
rnacentral:lncRNA from 1 species